CCUACGGGUGGCAGCAGUGGGGAAUAUUGGACAAUGGGGGCAACCCUGAUCCAGCCAUGCCGCGUGUGUGAAGAAGGCCCUCGGGUUGUAAAGCACUUUCAGUGAGGAAGAACGCCUGGUGGUUAAUACCCAUCAGGAAAGACAUCACUCACAGAAGAAGCACCGGCUAACUCCGUGCCAGCAGCCGCGGUAAUACGGAGGGUGCGAGCGUUAAUCGGAAUUACUGGGCGUAAAGCGCGCGUAGGUGGCUUGAUAAGCCGGUUGUGAAAGCCCCGGGCUCAACCUGGGAACGGCAUCCGGAACUGUCAAGCUAGAGUGCAGGAGAGGAAGGUAGAAUUCCCGGUGUAGCGGUGAAAUGCGUAGAGAUCGGGAGGAAUACCAGUGGCGAAGGCGGCCUUCUGGACUGACACUGACACUGAGGUGCGAAAGCGUGGGUAGUAAACAGGAUUAGAUACCCGAGUAGUC
rnacentral:rRNA from 1 species